UUGAUCCUGCCAGUAGUCAUAUGCUUGUCUCAAAGAUUAAGCCAUGCAUGUCUAAGUCCAAGCUGUGUUCACACGGCGAGACCGCGGACGGCUCAUUAAAUCAGUCGUGGUCCAAAUGGGCCAGUGCAAAUCCUACUUGGAUAACUGUGGUAAUUCCAGAGCUAAUACAUGCAACUGAUAUCCCGAAGGCGGUGUUUGGGCUUGCUUGCCUUGCGCUGCGCUGCUCUGACGGAUGCUUUUAUUAGACCAAGCCGCUGAGGACUUGAGGGUUCGCGCUCUCUUGUCUGACUCGUGUGAUGGUGACUCUGGAUAACCAAAUUCUGACAAGCGCACGUACUUCUCUUCUGAGCGAGACGGCGCUGCCACUUUCGAGUGUCUGCCUUAUCAGCUAUCAACCGUUCGUUAUGCGCGACCGAUGGCUUUGACGGGUAACGGGGAAUCAGGGUUCGAUUCCGGAGAGGCAGCCUGAGAGACGGCUACCACGUCCAAGGACGGCAGCAGGCACGCAAAUUACCCAAUCCCAGCAAAUGGGGGAGGUAGUGACGAAAUCUAACGAUGCGGGCGCCCUUUCUGGGGCCCCGCAAUCGGAAUGGGCACUUUCUAAACAACCUGUUGAGAA
rnacentral:rRNA from 1 species